CACGUCACGAAAGUCGGUAACACCCGAAGCCGGUGGCCCAACCCCCUUGUGGGGAGGGAGCUGUCGAAGGUGGGACUGGCGAUUGGGACGAAGUCGUAACAAGGUAGCCGUACCGGAAGGUGCGGCUGGAUCACCUCCUUU
rfam:Streptomyces afghaniensis 772 genomic scaffold STAFG_scaffold648, whole genome shotgun sequence.